ACGAACGCUGGCGGCGUGCUUAACCCAUGCAAGUCGAACGGAAAGGCCCUGCUUUUGUGGGGUGCUCGAGUGGCGAACGGGUGAGUAACACGUGAGUAACCUGCCCUUGACUUUGGGAUAACUUCAGGAAACUGGGGCUAAUACCGGAUAGGAGCUCCUGCUGCAUGGUGGGGGUUGGAAAGUUUCGGCGGUUGGGGAUGGACUCGCGGCUUAUCAGCUUGUUGGUGGGGUAGUGGCUUACCAAGGCUUUGACGGGUAGCCGGCCUGAGAGGGUGGCCGGCCACAUUGGGACUGAGAUACGGCCCAGACUCCUACGGGAGGCAGCAGUGGGGAAUAUUGCACAAUGGGCGGAAGCCUGAUGCAGCAACGCCGCGUGCGGGAUGACGGCCUUCGGGUUGUAAACCGCUUUCGCCUGUGACGAAGCGUGAGUGACGGUAAUGGGUAAAGAAGCACCGGCUAACUACGUG
rnacentral:rRNA from 1 species